rnacentral:rRNA from 1 species
CAGCAGCCGCGGUAAUACGAGGGGGGCAAGCGUUGUUCGGAAUUAUUGGGCGUAAAGGGUGCGUAGGCGGUUUGAUAAGUCUUGUGUGAAAUCUAUGGGCUCAACCCAUAGUCUGCAUAGGAAACUGUCGGGCUUGAGAGUGGGAGAGGUGAGUGGAAUUUCCGGUGUGGCGGUGAAAUGCGUAGAUAUCGGAAGGAACACCUGUGGCGAAAGCGGCUCACUAGACCAUUUCUGACGCUGAUGCACGAAAGCUAGGGGAGCAGACAGGAUUAGAUACCCCGGUAGUCCCUGUCUCUUAUAC